AGCGUAGGCGGAAUCGUAAGUUAGGAGUGUAAUAUCCGGGCUUAACCCGGAUCUUGCUUUUAAUACUGCGGUUCUUGAGUUUGGAAGAGGGAGAUGGAAUUCCAGGUGUAGCGGUGGAAUGCGUAGAUAUCUGGAAGAACACCAGUAGCGAAGGCGGUCUCCUGGUCCUAUACUGACGCUGAGGCUCGAAAGUUAGGGGAGCAAACA
rnacentral:rRNA from 1 species